UCCCUACGGGGGGCUGCAGUGAGGAAUCUUCCACAAUGGGCGAAAGCCUGAUGGAGCAACGCCGCGUGCAGGAUGAAGGCCCUCGGGUCGUAAACUGCUUUUAUAAGUGAAGAAUAUGACGGUAACUUAUGAAUAAGCACCGGCUAACUACGUGCCAGCAGCCGCGGUCAUACGUAGGGUGCAAGCAUUAUCCGGAGUGACUGGGCGUAAAGAGUUGCGUAGGUGGUUUGUUAAGCGAAUAGUGAAAUCUGGCGGCUCAACCGUACAGGCUAUUAUUCGAACUGGCAAACUCGAGAAUGGUAGAGGUAACUGGAAUUUCUUGUGUAGGAGUGAAAUCCGUAGAUAUAAGAAGGAACACCAAUGGCGUAGGCAGGUUACUGGACCAUUUCUGACACUGAGGCACGAAAGCGUGGGGAGCGAACGGGAUUAGAUACCCUGGUAGUC
rnacentral:rRNA from 1 species